CGUCUCGCCGGUUUGUUUCUUGCUGGGCCGGCUAGGUUUCCGCGUUUCGGGCUCCCUCCUCUCGGUAAUCCAGAACGGGAGGAGCCGUUGACCCCUUUGGCUUGGCCUUUACCCUGCACACCCCUUCGGUCCCCUUUCUCCACGCCAGCCGCCACCAGCACCUCCCUGGAGGACGCGAUGCCCUUUCGGGGCUCUGUGGCUCAGAAGGGCCUCCACACGGUGAGACUUGGCAGAGGAAUGAAGACCAAGAGGUUCUGAUGAGUGGGCGGGGCCCCUCGCAAAGGCCAGAAGGACUGGAAAGGCAAACAGCCGAAGCUCGUUUGCCAUACAGGACUUAACUACCUGGUCACACUAGCUGUCAGAUAACCUGGAAAAUGGAGACAAUUUUGCAGACUGCUGCCUCAAAUAAAAUCAGGCUUCUCAACAAGACAUCUCUAUCAGAGGAUUCAAGCCUGGCCGGGGGUGGCCCAGCGGUUGAGCAUCAACCUAGGAUCCAGGAGAUCACGGUUCGAUUCCCGGUCAGGGCA